AAGCUCGUAGUUGAAUUUCGGGAUCAAUGGGUUGGUCAUGCCCUCGGUAUGUACUGAUUUCAUUGGUUCUCACCUUCUAAGGAACCAUGAUGUCAUUUAUUUGAUGUUGUGGGAAAUUAGGACUGUUACCUUGAAAAAAUUAGAGUGUUUAAAGCAGGCUAACGCUUGAAUACAUUAGCAUGGAAUAAUGAAAUAGGACAUCCGAUUCUAUUUUGUUGGUUUCUAGGAUCGAUGUAAUGAUUAAUAGGGAUAGUUGGGGGCAUUAGUAUUCAAUUGUCAGAUGUGAAAUUCUUGGAUUUAUUGAAGACUAACUACUGCGAAAGCAUUUGCCAAGGAUGUUUUCAUUAAUCAAGAACGAAAGUUAGGGGAUCGAAGACGAUCAGAUACCGUCGUAGUCUUAACCAUAAACUAUGCCGACUAGGGAUCGGAUGAUGCUUAUUUUUUAAUGACUCAUUCGGCACCUUACGGGAAACCAAAGUGUUUGGGUUCCGGGGGGAGUAUAGUCGCAAGGCUGAAACUUAAAGGAAUUGACGGAAGGGCACCACCAGGGGUGGAGCCUGCGGCUUAAUUUGACUCAACACGGGGAAA
rnacentral:rRNA from 1 species